rnacentral:rRNA from 1 species
UGGGGAAUAUUGCACAAUGGGCGCAAGCCUGAUGCAGCCAUGCCGCGUGUGUGAAGAAGGCCUUCGGGUUGUAAAGCACUUUCAGCGGGGAGGAAGGCGGUGAGGUUAAUAACCUCAUCGAUUGACGUUACCCGCAGAAGAAGCACCGGCUAACUCCGUGCCAGCAGCCGCGGUAAUACGGAGGGUGCAAGCGUUAAUCGGAAUUACUGGGCGUAAAGCGCACGCAGGCGGUCUGUCAAGUCGGAUGUGAAAUCCCCGGGCUCAACCUGGGAACUGCAUUCGAAACUGGCAGGCUAGAGUCUUGUAGAGGGGGGUAGAAUUCCAGGUGUAGCGGUGAAAUGCGUGGAGAUGUGGAGGAAUACCGGUGGCGAAGGCGGCCCCCUGGACAAAGACUGACGCUCAGGUGCGAAAGCGUGGGGAGCAAACAGG